UUAAGUUCAGCGGGUAUCCCCACCUGAUCCGAGGCCAACCAUUGAUAAAAUUUUGGGGUCCGGGGCGGCCUCCUACCGGUCGUCCGCAAGCGAGGGUUUUGCUACGCUUGGAGUCCGAUCUGGGGCGCCCACGAGUUUCGGGCCCGCCGCACGGGCGGGACCCAUCACCAAGCAAGGCUUGAGGUUUGUAAUGGCGCUCG
rnacentral:misc_RNA from 1 species